rnacentral:rRNA from 1 species
UACGUAGGGUGCAAGCGUUAAUCGGAAUUACUGGGCGUAAAGCGUGCGCAGGUGGCCCUGCCAGUCAGCUGUGAAAUCCCCGGGCUCAACCUGGGAACUGCAUUUGUGACUGCAUGGCUAGAGUACGGGAGAGGGGGAUGGAAUUCCGCGUGUAGCAGUGAAAUGCGUAGAUAUGCGGAGGAACACCGAUGGCGAAGGCAAUCCCCUGGGCCUGUACUGACGCUCAUGCACGAAAGCGUGGGGAGCAAACAGG